AUGUACAUGAGUGAGCUUGACGCGCAGCCGACACAAGAGCCAGCUGAUGUGUUUCACACUGAGAGCGUGGAAAUGUUUUACUGCGAAAGCAUAGACCAACCACAGGAUGUGUGUGACCGAGAUGAAAGGUUUGCUAAGCUAUCUGCAUGCAACACGGGCAGGCAGCUACGUGUAAAGAUUGACACUGGGGCCAAAUGUAACGUAAUAUCCAGGGCGCUCCUGCAGCACACUGACCCCACUGCCUGCAUUAAUCCCGACAAGAAGGCAAAUCUUGUUGCCUACGGGGGUCACAAUAUUCAGACUCUUGGUGCAGCAGAUGUGAAUUUAACCUGUGGCCUACUGCAAUUUCAAAUUGUGGACAGAAACACCAAGCCCUUGCUGGGUCUCAGAGACAGUGUCAGACUGGUUUUUCUGACUUUUGGUCCGGAAGUGCAUGCCCUCACCCAACAGGAACCACCUGAGCUAUUGGAAUACAAAGACCUGUUCAACAAUGACACCAUCGGCAAACUGCCUGUAGUGUACCACAUGCGCCUUGAUCACUCCGUGCCCCCCACCAUAUGUGCCCCGAGGCGGGUGCCACUGGCCAUGAGGGACAAAAUCGUGGCAGAACUGCAGAGAAUGACUAACAUGGGGGUCAUCACACCAAUCCAGGAACACACUGAAUGGGUUUCAGCAAUGGUGGCCGCGAAGAAAAAAGACGGCACCAUCAGACUAUGCAUUGACCCUGUCAACCUUAACAAGGCCCUCCUCUGGCCCCAUCACCCCCUGAAGACUGUGGAGGAGGUGAUCGCUGACAUGCCAGAUGCCAAAAUGUUCAGCAUUCUGGAUGCAAAGUGUGGCUACUGGCAGGUGCCACUCAGCGAGGAAUCCUCAAGACUCACCACCUUUAUGACCCCAGUGGGCUGCUACACCUUCCUACGCAUGCCCUAUGGCAUCACCACGGGCAGUGAGGUCUUCCAAAGGUGCAUGGAGCAGCUAUUUGAGGGACAGUCAUGUGGGAUCGAGAUUGACGACAUCCUCGUGUGGGGCCGCGCUAGGGAGGAUGCUGUGCAUUUAAGUGUGUUUUGUCUGAAAAAUCUACUCUCACAUAAAUGCACAUAUUACUGA
rnacentral:lncRNA from 1 species